rnacentral:rRNA from 1 species
UACGUAGGGUGCGAGCGUUUAAUCGGAAUUACUGGGCGUAAAGGGCUCGUAGGCGGCCAACUAAGUCGGAUGUGAAAUCCCCAGGCUUAACCUGGGAACUGCAUCCGAUACUGGAUGGCUUGAAUCCGGGAGAGGGAUGCAGAAUUCCAGGUGUAGCGGUGAAAUGCGUAGAUAUCUGGAGGAAUACCGGUGGCGAAGGCGGCAUCCUGGACCGGCAUUGACGCUGAUGAGCGAAAGCUAGGGGAGCAAACGGG